AUUGAACGCUGGCGGCAGGCCUAACACAUGCAAGUCGAAUGGUAACAGGAAACAGCUUGCUGUUUCUCUGACGAGUGGCGGACGGGUGAGUAAUGUCUGGGAAACUGCCUGAUGGAGGGGGAUAACUACUGGAAACGGUAGCUAAUACCGCAUAACGUCGCGAGACCAAAGAGGGGGACCUUCGGGCCUCUUGCCAUCAGAUGUGCCCAGAUGGGAUUAGCUAGUAGGUGGGGUAACGGCUCACCUAGGCGACGAUCCCUAGCUGGUCUGAGAGGAUGACCAGCCACACUGGAGCUGAGACACGGUCCAGACUCCUACGGGAGGCAGCAGUGGGGAAUAUUGCACAAUGGGCGCAAGCCUGAUGCAGCCAUGCCGCGUGUAUGAAGAAGGCCUUCGGGUUGUAAAGUACUUUCAGCGGGGAGGAAGGGAGUAAAGUUAAUACCUUUGCUCAUUGACGUUACCCGCAGAAGAAGCACCGGCUAACUCCGUG
rnacentral:rRNA from 1 species